rnacentral:misc_RNA from 1 species
GAUGAAGAACGUAGCGAAAUGCGAUAAGUAAUGUGAAUUGCAGAAUUCAGUGAAUCAUCGAAUCUUUGAACGCACAUUGCGCCCGCCAGUAUUCUGGCGGGCAUGCCUGUUCGAGCGUCAUUUCAACCAUCAAGCCCCGGGCUUGUGUUGGGGACCUGCGGCUGCCGCAGGCCCUGAAAUGCAGUGGCGGGCUCGCUGUCACUCCGAGCGUAGUAAUACAUCUCGCUCUGGACGUGCUGCGGGUUCCGGCCGUUAAAAGCCUUAUUUACCCAAGGUUGACCUCGGAUCAGGUAGGAAGACCCGCUGAACUUAAGCAUAUCAAUAAGCGGAGGA